AGACUGGGACAGUGUUUCUGGCUGUUCCUCUUGCUGAAGAUAAAUGACAGAUUUGAUCUCAGGAAGUCCUCUGGAUCACCCUCUCGCAAAGACACCCAACAUCAGGGACAGAGUUUGACUUUGCAGUCCACCUCUUUGUCUUCCACUCAUGACUGGAGAAAAUAAGGCAGUGGGCCUUAUCUGCUGGUGAGAUCAUGCAUCGCUGCUUUAUCCUUCCAUGCAUCGAGCCCAACAUUAUCUGUCGCAUUGGACAUGCCACAGAAUCGCUCCAGUGCUGGAGAGUUCAGCGAAUCAUGCAAAAGCAGAAUCUGGGCGAGCGUGACUCACACAGCCCUGCUGGAGUGUCUGCUGUCAGCAGAUCUGUCUUAGUGGGUGACAGGAGAGAAAUAAUGACAGGUAAGACGACAUGCACUCAUGCAGACACCUGUAAACAAACACCCACACACAUACUGUAGCCAUGCAUGCACAAGUGUAAUGUGCAUAGGUCACAUACGGGGUUAAACUGCAAAUGUGCCAAAUGGUGUUUCCAUCUACAUGUUACACUCGUGCAUUUGGCAGAUGCUGGUAUCUAAAGUGACUUGCAUUGCAAGCAAGGUAUAGAUUUUAUAGAUUCAUGCAUUCCCUGGAAAUCAAAUCAUGUCCUUCAAGUGCAACUGUGCAAGAGUGAUCUGUUUUGUCAGGCUGUUAUUGAAAAUAAGAACUGGUUCUUAAUUAAUUUGCCUUGUUAAAUAAAGGUUAAAUAACAUGUAAUUGACA
ensembl:lncRNA